rnacentral:rRNA from 1 species
UGCCAGCCGCCGCGGUAAUACGGAGGGGGCUAGCGUUGUUCGGAAUUACUGGGCGUAAAGCGUCUGUAGGCGGAUCAAAAAGUUAGAUGUGAAAUCCCUGAGCUUAACUCAGGAACUGCAUUUAAAACUAGUGAUCUAGAAUUUGGUAGAGGAUAGUAGAAUUUCCAGUGUAGAGGUGAAAUUCGUAGAUAUUGGAAAGAAUACCAGUGGCGAAGGCGACUAUCUGGGCCAUUUUUGACGCUGAGAGACGAAAGCGUGGGUAGCAAACAGGAUUAGAUA